rnacentral:lncRNA from 1 species
CCUCACCAAUUUGCCAUGAAGACCAGCGGGAUUUAUGGGAAGAUAGCAAACUCCAAAAAAUAAGACCCAUUCUUGCUCUACAGAGCUGGUGAUCCAUCUCUCAGAUUUGACUUGAGGAGUCCUACCACUAGAUGCAGCCAGAGACUGUCAAUCAGAGGCCAGCCCUCCACUGCCUAGGGAUGAACAGCACCCACCCAGGCAAAUCAGCUUCUCUCACCAGGAACCUGAGUUUGAUGGAAAGCACAUCGUUGGAACCAUGGCAUUCUGACAGCAGUCUCCUGGAGAGAUUUCUCUUGAAUUCCUUCCUCUGGGAUCCCUGGAGCUUCCAUCCUUCAAGUCCUUUCUGAAGCUAGGCUGUUCAGUCUUCCCUUUAACCCUGUGAGAAAUUCAACAUACUUCCCAUCAAUUCCAUCUCUGUUUUAGUCAGGAAAGAUUUCUGUUGCUUGCAACCA